GGCCGCGGGAAUUCGAUUCAGGCCUAACACAUGCAAGUCGAACGAACUCUGGUAUUGAUUGGUGCUUGCAUCAUGAUUUACAUUUGAGUGAGUGGCGAAAUGGUGAGUAACACGUGGGAAACCUGCCCAGAAGCGGGGGAUAACACCUGGAAACAGAUGCUAAUACCGCAUAACAACUCGGACCGCAUGGUCCGAGCUUGAAAGAUGGCUUCGGCUAUCACUUUUGGAUGGUCCCGCGGCGUAUUAGCUAGAUGGUGGGGUAACGGCUCACCAUGGCAAUGAUACGUAGCCGACCUGAGAGGGUAAUCGGCCACAUUGGGACUGAGACACGGCCCAAACUCCUACGGGAGGCAGCAGUAGGGAAUCUUCCACAAUGGACGAAAGUCUGAUGGAGAAGGGCCGCGUGAGUGAAGAAGGGUUUCGGCCCGUAAUAAAAGGGUGGAAAGAAGAACAUAUCUGAGAGUAACUGUUCAGGUAUGACGGUA
rnacentral:rRNA from 1 species